rnacentral:lncRNA from 1 species
UGAAGAGUGGUUUUAAAGACAUACGGUUUGAAUCACCCCUGUUCCAUAGAGUCACAGAAAUAAGAGCUGAAAAUGACCUGCUUGGCCAUCUUGCCCUUCCGGAGCCAGUACACGAUGGCUCCCUGUAGAUGAGGCUGCCUUAGUUCCAUGGGGUUAGAUGAGCCAAGUGUUGGGGGACUCCUCAUUCCCUCCUCCAUGAGUCGGUCACCGAACAGUUCUUACUGCUUGGAAACUUUCCCAACCCCAAGCCAAAGUUUUCCUUUGCUCCAUUGCAUUUAAUUAUCCCUCCUUUAUGCUGCUGGGCCUCUGACUCAUUCUUUUGUCUCUAGCAGUUUCCACUCUUCCCAAAGGCCCCUGGUUUUGGGGACUGUCCCCAGUGCCCUGGCUGUUUUGAAUGUUCAUCAGUGCUUCACCUUCUCCAAGCUAGGGAACCUCCAGAAUGAAGCCCUGAGACUGGCACACAACAAGGCUUGGGAAGCAGUGAAGCUGCCGAAGGUGCUUGCUUGCCGAGAAGUUGCCAAACUGUCUCCAGGUUCCAGCCUCCCCGGCGUGGCCUCCAAGCCUUCUGGGAGAGCUUGGUAGGUGUCUGUGUGCUUUCAGACCAAACGUGGGGUGAAACUUAGUAACCUGGGAAGCCAAAGAGAAGAUGAGUUUAACAAACACAGACUUUCCCUCCCACAGGACGGUGUUGCUGGCCGAGGGCUGUGAUGUUUAUUAGCAGUGGAGACAAGGACCUGCCCUGCUGAGGAGUUUUAUGACAUACCAAGAACUCUGUCUGUGGCCUUUCCUACUUCUGAGAAAAACAAAUGCCAGGAAACAGGAUUUGAGUGAGUAAAAUAUAAAAUUGGUGUAGAGCACAUCCCGGCUGGUGUAAUGCCCUCUGAGGAUAUCAACCCUAAGAAAAACCAUCACAAUCUUUAUGGUUCAGGUUUUGGUUCUUUUUCACUUCCUUCUUCA